GCAGGACGCGGCAGGCCUUCAGGGAGAAAGGGAAUCGCUUGGGCAUACUGUAUAGCCUUGCACACAAAGCUUUCAAUUCCCAAGCUGAUGACAGUUUCAUGGGUGAUUGCCUGGCACGGUACAGCCUUCUGCUACGAGGGUGGAGACGAUAGACGAUGUGGUG